AAUGACAAAAACCCAGCAAAACCAUUACUUAUGGCGAAAUUUUUGCAUUUUAUUGUUACCUAUAUAUUACUGGUUUUUAAUUUUUCGUUUUCAUUCUUAUCCGUUGAUACACGCGUCACGGGACGUGCGUCGGUGACAAAGGGGCCGAAAAAUAAAGGGUUAUUUUUUUUUCAAACGUUAUUAUUAAUGAAUCUCUUUCGUUAAACUGGCCAUUGGUUUUAUAAUAUUAUUGUUAUCAUCAUCACUAGCUGC